GAUGAAGAACGCAGCGAAAUGCGAUAAGUAAUGUGAAUUGCAGAAUUCAGUGAAUCAUCGAAUCUUUGAACGCACAUUGCGCCCGCCAGUAUUCUGGCGGGCAUGCCUGUUCGAGCGUCGUUUCAACCAUCAAGCCCCCGGCUUGUGUUGGGGACCUGCGGCUGCCGCAGGCCCUGAAAAGCAGUGGCGGGCUCGCUGUCACACCGAGCGUAGUAGCAUACAUCUCGCUCUGGGCGUGCUGCGGGUUCCGGCCGUUAAACCACCUUCAUAACCCAAGGUUGACCUCGGAUCAGGUAGGAAGACCCGCUGAACUUAAGCAUAUCAAUAAGCGGAGGA
rnacentral:misc_RNA from 1 species